rnacentral:misc_RNA from 1 species
CAGCAAGGCGUCCCCGGCCCGGCCUAGUGGUAUUAUUGGCGGGCAUUGCUUUAUUUAACCCGUAUUUACCCCCAGCAGCGCCCCCAGCAGGCUAGAGUCAGCAGGCAGCGAGGGACAGCAGGGAGAAAGUCGAAGCAGAAGGACCCGUGCAGUGUGUACAUCAGCUUCAUCAACCCCAUAGAGGCCGUGUGUGCCGCCCAGCUGCUGUCCGUGGCCAAGGAGGUGGACGCUUCUGUCAAGUUUGGCCGACACUGCUACCUGACCUUCGCCACAGAGUCAGAAGCCAGCGCCAGUCUGUCCAAGGCCUCUGCGGUGGAAUUUGGGGGACAGAAGGCUUAUGUGGACCAUGCCUACAAGUCCCAGAGCGCGAAAGCAGCAGGGAAGAGAGGAGCGGAGGUGAAUGUGCAAGCUUCCCCUACAAAGAAAAUGAAGAGCAACGCGGGAGGGCCAGUGGAGAA